rnacentral:rRNA from 1 species
GACGAACGCUGGCGGCGUGCUUAACACAUGCAAGUCGAACGAAGUGGCGAACGGGUGAGUAACGCGUAAUCAACCUGCCCUUCAGAGGGGGACAACAGUUGGAAACGACUGCUAAUACCGCAUACUGAAGGAGGGGAUUGCGGCUGAUUAGCUCGUUGGGGGGGUAACGGCCCACCAAGGCGAUGCUCAGUAACCGGUCUGGAGGGGUGAACGGCACCAUUGGGACUGGAACACGGCCCCGACUCCUACGGGGAGCAGCAAGGGGGGAUCUUCCGAAAUGGACGAAAGUCUGGCGGAGCAACGCCGCGUGAGUGAUGGCGGCCUUCGGGUUGUAAAGCUCUGUUAAUCGGGACGCGGUACCGGAAGAGAAAGCCACGGCUAACUACGUGCCAGCAGCCGCGGUAAUAC